rnacentral:ncRNA from 1 species
ACACAGGCUUUGACGGGAAGAAGUAAGAAUAAGUGGAACGAACAGAAAGCAACCGGCUGAUGAGAGGUGCACGGAAAGCUUAUUACGAAUACAUCCCCGAGCUUCACACCCAAUUUGCAUGACCGUUCUUUUUGCGGUGAUGUGAUAGUAGGCUGUGACGUAGCGGCGCACGUUACAAGCGCCUGAGUGUUGUCGGACACUCGCAGAGGCAGACCGUGUGAAUGGUCUGUGAACAAAGGUGGUAACACGAGUUUAUACCCUCGUCCUUUUU